ACAAAUCUUACAUCUCUCCCGUUCCAGUCGCCUAAAACUCCGCAAUCAGGCGCAUGUUCCACUCCUAAAACCGAAGCUUUUUGGAAGCUUUUUCAGGCAUCACUCUUUAUUUUAAUUAUUUACCUGAAUGCAUUUUUUUUUUAUCUCACGCGCGUGUUUAUGUUGUUCUCUUCUCUCACAUGCAGUGCUCUCUGUUUGUAGGCUACAGUGGGACGCACUGUAAUAUUUAUUCAAUUUCAUCCCUGGACUAGAGCACGAUUUAACGAGUUCCAUACCUUCCAUCUAGCUCCGUGACAGGCUUUAAAGCAUCAGGCUUGGCAUCCAUCCCCUAAGCCCCUUCUCAGCUCCUGUCUACCUGUCUGCUGGGGUGUUGGUGCCUGGGAUUCAACCAUCAGCCCUAACCUGUGUGGCUUCCUGUCCAUCCACAGAGGGACCCAAUCCUCUACUUUGAAUUCAAGGGGCCUGAAGACAACACAGCCUCACGCAGGCUCAGCUACAUGAAGGUCACGACCCCAACAAGACACACCACACCCCGCCACCCGGUGGGCUGAGUUGUCACGUCAUACACGCGCGCGUGUGUGUAAGCCUCAGGAGACUGGUGGUGGGUUUUAUCCAGCUGCCUAAGAGGAGGAACAGGAGGAAGAAGAGGAGGGUGAUGGAGCGGUUAGGGGGGUGGAAGGUAAAUCCUAAAUCCUAGAAUCCUAGCAGCGCGCCCAUCUCAGAGACCCGAGGGUGCCCGUGUUUGAGUGACAGCUCUCCUUUCAGUGUCGCUGUGGGACGGGGGAGGGAUUAAGGCUGUCUCCCCCUGAAGGGCCAUUGUGGCUCAGCGUCUCCCAGCUGCUUCUGCACCCCUCCACAGCUUUCACUCUCUGGGACGACAGGGAGACAGGGAAAGGAGG